AACGAACGCUGGCGGCAGGCUUAACACAUGCAAGUCGAGCGCCCCGCAAGGGGAGCGGCAGACGGGUGAGUAACGCGUGGGAAUCUACCCAUCUCUACGGAAUAACGCAUGGAAACGUGUGCUAAUACCGUAUACGUCCUUCGGGAGAAAGAUUUAUCGGAGAUGGAGGAGCCCGCGUUGGAUUAGCUAGUUGGUGGGGUAAAGGCCUACCAAGGCGACGAUCCAUAGCUGGUCUGAGAGGAUGAUCAGCCACACUGGGACUGCGACACGGCCCAGACUCCUACGGGAGGCAGCAGUGGGGAAUAUUGGACAAUGGGCGCAAGCCUGAUCCAGCCAUGCCGCGUGAGUGAUGAAGGCCCUAGGGUUGUAAAGCUCUUUCACCGGUGAAGAUAAUGACGGUAACCGGAGAAGAAGCCCCGGCUAACUUCGUGCCAGCCGCCGCUGUAAUAC
rnacentral:rRNA from 1 species